AGGGUUCGAUUCUGGCUCAGGAUGAACGCUGGCGGCGUGCUUAACACAUGCAAGUCGAACGGGAUCCCAGGAGCUUGCUCCUGGGUGAGAGUGGCGAACGGGUGAGUAAUGCGUGACCGACCUGCCCCAUACACCGGAAUAGCUCCUGGAAACGGGUGGUAAUGCCGGAUGCUCCAGUUGACCGCAUGGUCCUCUGGGAAAGCUUUUGCGGUAUGGGAUGGGGUCGCGUCCUAUCAGCUUGAUGGCGGGGUAACGGCCCACCAUGGCUUCGACGGGUAGCCGGCCUGAGAGGGCGACCGGCCACAUUGGGACUGAGAUACGGCCCAGACUCCUACGGGAGGCAGCAGUGGGGAAUAUUGCACAAUGGGCGCAAGCCUGAUGCAGCGACGCCGCGUGCGGGAUGACGGCCUUCGGGUUGUAAACCGCUUUUGACUGGGAGCAAGCCCUUCGGGGUGAGUGUACCUUUCGAAUAAGCACCGGCUAACUACGUGCCAGCAGCCGCGGUAAUACGUAGGGUGCAAGCGUUAUCCGGAAUUAUUGGGCGUAAAGGGCUCGUAGGCGGUUCGUCGCGUCCGGUGUGAAAGUCCAUCGCUUAACGGUGGAUCCGCGCCGGGUACGGGCGGGCUUGAGUGCGGUAGGGGAGACUGGAAUUCCCGGUGUAACGGUGGAAUGUGUAGAUAUCGGGAAGAACACCAAUGGCGAAGGCAGGUCUCUGGGCCGUCACUGACGCUGAGGAGCGAAAGCGUGGGGAGCGAACAGGAUUAGAUACCCUGGUAGUCCACGCCGUAAACGGUGGAUGCUGGAUGUGGGGACCAUUCCACGGUCUCCGUGUCGGAGCCAACGCGUUAAGCAUCCCGCCUGGGGAGUACGGCCGCAAGGCUAAAACUCAAAGAAAUUGACGGGGGCCCGCACAAGCGGCGGAGCAUGCGGAUUAAUUCGAUGCAACGCGAAGAACCUUACCUGGGCUUGACAUGUUCCCGACAGCCCCAGAGAUGGGGCCUCCCUUCGGGGCGGGUUCACAGGUGGUGCAUGGUCGUCGUCAGCUCGUGUCGUGAGAUGUUGGGUUAAGU
rnacentral:rRNA from 1 species